rnacentral:rRNA from 1 species
GCCCCCAACUCAAUAAGGAAUUAACCUACCACCUGACUCAAUAAAAGAGU